rnacentral:rRNA from 1 species
GAUGAACGCUGGCGGCGUGCCUAAUACAUGCAAGUCGAGCGAAUGGAUUAAGAGCUUGCUCUUAUGAAGUUAGCGGCGGACGGGUGAGUAACACGUGGGUAACCUGCCCAUAAGACUGGGAUAACUCCGGGAAACCGGGGCUAUUACCGGAUAACAUUUUGAACCGCAUGGUUCGAAAUUGAAAGGCGGCUUCGGCUGUCACUUAUGGAUGGACCCGCGUCGCAUUAGCUAGUUGGUGAGGUAACAGCUCACCAAGGCAACGAUGCGUAGCCGACCUGAGAGGGUGAUCGGCCACACUGGGACUGAGACACGGCCCAGACUCCUACGGGAGGCAGCAGUAGGGAAUCUUCCGCAAUGGACGAAAGUCUGACGGAGCAACGCCGCGUGAGUGAUGAAGGCUUUCGGGUCGUAAAACUCUGUUGUUAGGGAAGAACAAGUGCUAGUUGAAUAAGCUGGCACCUUGACGGUACCUAACCAGAAAGCCACGGCUAACUACGUGCCAGCCGCCGCCGUAA